UACGUAGGCAGCGAGCGUUGUUCGGAGUUACUGGGCGUAAAGGGUGCGUAGGCGGUUAUUUAAGUUUGGUGUGAAAUCUCCCGGCUUAACUGGGAGGGUGCGCCGAAGACUGCGAUGCUGGAGUAUGGGAGAGGAAAGCGGAAUUCCCGGUGUAGCGGUGAAAUGCGUAGAUAUCAGGAGGAACACCUGCGGUGUAGACGGCUUUCUGGACCAUUACUGACACUGAGACACGAAAGCGUGGGUAGCAAACAGG
rnacentral:rRNA from 1 species